rnacentral:rRNA from 1 species
UACGUAGGGGGCUAGCGUUGUCCGGAAUCAUUGGGCGUAAAGAGCGUGUAGGCGGUCCGGUAAGUCCGCUGUGAAAGUCGGGGGCUCAACCCUCGAAUGCCGGUGGAUACUGUCGGGCUAGAGUGCGGAAGAGGCGAGUGGAAUUCCUGGUGUAGCGGUGAAAUGCGCAGAUAUCAGGAGGAACACCUAUUGCGAAGGCGGCUCUCUGGGACGGUACUGACGCUGAGACGCGAAAGCGUGGGGAGCAAACAGG